rnacentral:sRNA from 1 species
UCGGAAUUGGUUUGAUAUCUCACACUCUC